AACUAACAAGGAUUCCCCUAGUAACGGCGAGUGAAGAGGGAUAAGCUCAAAUUUGAAAUCUGGCAGUCUAAGGCUGUCCGAGUUGUAAUCUAGAGAAGUGUUUUCCGUGCUGGACCGUGUACAAGUCCUUUGGAACAAGGCGUCAUAGAGGGUGAGAAUCCCGUCUACGACACGGACUGCCAGUGCUUUGUGAUACACUCUCAACGAGUCGAGUUGUUUGGGAAUGCAGCUCAAACUGGGUGGUAAAUUCCAUCUAAAGCUAAAUACAGGCGAAAGACCGAUAGCGAACAAGUACCGUGAGGGAAAGAUGAAAAGCACUUUGGAAAGAGAGUUAAACAGUACGUGAAAUUGUUGAAAGGGAAACGCUUGAAGUCAGUCGCGUCUUCAGAAAUUCAGCCUGGCUUGUUUGCCUGGUGUAUUUUUCUGUUGGGACGGGCCAGCAUCAGUUUUGGUCGUCAGAAAAAGGUGAGAGGAAGGUGGCACCUCCGGGUGUGUUAUAGCCUCUCAUCGUAUGUGGCGGUUGGGACUGAGGACUGCAGCACGCCUUUAAUGGCCGGGGUUCGCCCACGUAACGUGCUUAGGAUGCUGGCGUAAUGGCUUUAAGCGACCCGUCUUGAAACACGGACCAAGGAGUCUAACAUGCCUGCGAGUAUUUGGGUGGUAAACCCAUGUGCGGAAUGAAAGUGAAUAGGUUGGGACUUCUGUCAUGGAAGGCACCGACGCCCGGACCAGACCUAUUGUGACGGAUCCGAGGUAGAGCAUGUAUGUUGGGACCCGAAAGAUGGUGAACUAUGCCUGAGUAGGGUGAAGCCAGAGGAAACUCUGGUGGAGGCUCGUAGCGAUUCUGACGUGCAAAUCGAUCGUCGAACUUGGGUAUAGGGGCGAAAGACUAAUCGAAC
rnacentral:rRNA from 1 species